AAGGCGUAGUAGCGAUAGAGAUUCCACUGGGAGAUGCAGCAGAGACGUUUGAUUUAGAGAAAACAAUAUGCAGCCAUGGGUUCUUCAUGAUGUCUCCCAAUCACUGGGACUCUCUCUCUCGCACCUUCUCUCGCCCUUUGCAUCUCCAUCAUCCUUUUCAUUCCCUCAUGGUCUCUAUCUCCCAUCCCUCCGAUCUUCCUCAUUCUCUCCUUGUGCGCGUCCACGGUGUUCGCUCUCUCUCCCCACAACAUCGAGCGUCGAUUGUGGGUCAGGUGGUGAGGAUGCUCAGAUUGUCGGAUAUGGAUGAAUGGAAUGCUAGAGAGUUUAGAAAGAUUGCAGCUG
rnacentral:misc_RNA from 1 species